UACGGGGGGAGCAAGCGUUGUUCGGAUUUACUGGGCGUAAAGGGCGCGUAGGCGGUGCUUCAAGUCAGGCGUGAAAGCCCCGGGCUCAACCUGGGAACCGCGCUUGAGACUGGAGCACUCGAGUUCGGGAGAGGAUGGUGGAAUUCCCAGUGUAGAGGUGAAAUUCGUAGAUAUUGGGAAGAACACCGAUGGCGAAGGCAGCCAUCUGGACCGACACUGACGCUGAGGCGCGAAAGCGUGGGGAGCAAACAGG
rnacentral:rRNA from 1 species